CCCUUAGAUGUUCUGGGCCGCACGCGUGCUACACUGAGUGGAUCAGCGGGUCAGGUUGCGCGAAAGUGUUUCCUAAUCUUUAAAUCCGCUCGUGAUGGGGAUUGACGGUUGCAAUUUUUGAUCUUGAACGAGGAAUUCCUAGUAAGCGCGAGUCAUCAGCUCGCGUUGAUUACGUCCCUGCCCUUUGUACACACCGCCCGUCGCUACUACCGAUUGAAUGGUUUAGUGAGGACUCCUGAUUGGCGCCGCCGCCCCGGCAACGGAGCAGCGGACUGCCGAAAAGUUGUUCAAACUUGAUCAUUUAGAGGAAGUAAAAGUCGUAACA
rnacentral:rRNA from 1 species